GCUUCCUACGGGAGGCAGCAGUGGGGAAUUUUGGACAAUGGGCGCAAGCCUGAUCCAGCAAUGCCGCGUGAGUGAAGAAGGCCUUCGGGUUGUAAAGCUCUUUUGUCAGGGAAGAAACGGUGAGGGCUGAUAUCCUUUGCUAAUGACGGUACCUGAAGAAUAAGCACCGGCUAACUACGUGCCAGCAGCCGCGGUAAUACGUAGGGUGCAAGCGUUAAUCGGAAUUACUGGGCGUAAAGCGUGCGCAGGCGGUUAUGUAAGUCAGAUGUGAAAUCCCCGGGCUCAACCUGGGAAUGGCAUUUGAGACUGCAUGGCUAGAGUGUGUCAGAGGGGGGUAGAAUUCCACGUGUAGCAGUGAAAUGCGUAGAGAUGUGGAGGAAUACCGAUGGCGAAGGCAGCCCCCCGGGAUAACACUGACGCUCAUGCACGAAAGCGUGGGGAGCAAACAGGAUUAGAUACCCUGGUAGUCCACGCCCUAAACGAUGUCUACUAGUUGUCGGGACUUAAUUGUCUUGGUAACGCAGCUAACGCGUGAAGUAGGCCGCCUGGGGAGUACGGUCGCAAGAUUAAAACUC
rnacentral:rRNA from 1 species